rnacentral:rRNA from 1 species
AAAGUUGUUGUGGUUAAAAAGCUCGUAGUUGAACCUUGGGCCUGGCUGGCCGGUCCGCCUCACCGCGUGUACUGGUCCGGCCGGGCCUUUCCCUCUGUGGAACCCCAUGCCCUUCACUGGGUGUGGCGGGGAAACAGGACUUUUACUUUGAAAAAAUUAGAGUGCUCCAGGCAGGCCUAUGCUCGAAUACAUUAGCAUGGAAUAAUAGAAUAGGACGUGUGGUUCUAUUUUGUUGGUUUCUAGGACCGCCGUAAUGAUUAAUAGGGACAGUCGGGGGCAUCAGUAUUCAAUUGUCAGAGGUGAAAUUCUUGGAUUUAUUGAAGACUAACUACUGCGAAAGCAUUUGCCAAGGAUGUUUUCAUUAAUCAGGAACGAAAGUUAGGGGAUCGAAGACGAUCAGAUACCGUCGUAGUCUUAACCAUAAACUAUGCCGACUAGGGAUCGGACGAUGUUAUUUUUUGACUCGUUCGGCACCUUACGAGAAAUCAAAGUGCUUGGGCUC